GAUGAACGCUGGCGGCGUGCCUAAUACAUGCAAGUCGAACGCACAGCGAAAGGUGCUUGCACCUUUCAAGUGAGUGGCGAACGGGUGAGUAACACGUGGACAACCUGCCUCAAGGCUGGGGAUAACAUUUGGAAACAGAUGCUAAUACCGAAUAAAAAUCAGUGUCGCAUGACACAAAGUUAAAAGGCGCUUUGGCGUCACCUAGAGCUGGAUCAGCGGUGCAUUAGUUAGUUGGUGGGGUAAAGGCCUACCAAGACAAUGAUGCAUAGCCGAGUUGAGAGACUGAUCGGCCACAUUGGGACUGAGACACGGCCCAAACUCCUACGGGAGGCUGCAGUAGGGAAUCUUCCACAAUGGGCGAAAGCCUGAUGGAGCAACGCCGCGUGUGUGAUGAAGGCUUUCGGGUCGUAAAGCACUGUUGUAUGGGAAGAACAGCUAGAAUAGGGAAUGAUUUUAGUUUGACGGUACCAUACCAGAAAGGGACGGCUAAAUACGUGCCAGCCGCCGCGGUAA
rnacentral:rRNA from 1 species